GAUGAACGCUGGCGGCGUGCCUAAUACAUGCGAGUCGAACGAAACUUCUUUAUCACCGAGUGCUUGCACUCACCGAUAAAGAGUUGAGUGGCGAACGGGUGAGUAACACGUGGGCAACCUGCCCAAAAGAGGGGGAUAACACUUGGAAACAGGUGCUAAUACCGCAUAACCAUAGUUACCGCAUGGUAACUAUGUAAAAGGUGGCUAUACUACCGCUUUUGGAUGGGCCCGCGGCGCAUUAGCUAGUUGGUAGGGUAAAGGCUUACCAAGGCAAUGAUGCGUAGCCGAAUUGAGAGGUUGAUCGGCCACAUUGGGACUGAGACACGGCCCAAACUCCUACGGGAGGCAGCAGUAGGGAAUCUUCCACAAUGGGCGAAAGCCUGAUGGAGCAACGCCGCGUGGGUGAAGAAGGUCUUCGGAUCGUAAAACCCUGUUGUUAGAGAAGAAAGUGCGUGAGAGUAACUGUUCACGUUUCGACGGUAUCUAACCAGAAAGCCACGGCUAACUACGUG
rnacentral:rRNA from 1 species